UAAAGGCAAUCAUCGGCCCUGUAAUACAAAAUCAAGAAAUAAAAAAACCGUUAAAAUAUAAAGUUACAAUAAAGUGUGCUCCGUUGUCAUCAUAACAAACAACAGAAAGAAAAAAGGAAAAAAAAAAGAAAAAAAGGCACAAGAGGCACUGCUCUAAAGAGCUAGUGUCUCUUGUACCAUCUACUAAAACUCAUUCUUUUUAAAACUCGUCAUUCUUUUGUUACUUUGUCAAUCUCGUCCUUUUUCUGUGACUGUUCCUCUGCUCCAAAAACUCUUAUUCGUCUAAGUUUUUUCCUCGAACAUCAGUUCUUUGUAAUCCACUUCCUUUAUCUUGCUUUCCUGAUAUGUCAGGAAAAAGUAAGAAAAAAAUUGACACACAUUUUUGGGUAAGGGAAUUCAGGUCAUUCUUACCAAAAGAAAAGUUUGCUACAGAGCAAGAGGUUUUGCAAUACUUCUUGCAUUUGAAGGAGAAGUACCCAAAACUAAAAGAAAGUAGAAUUAUCCAGUGUCCAUUGACAAAAAACUUCGAAAUCAACUGCCAUAAUGAAAAACAUAUUUGCUGCACUCUUUCAAAGUUAAUUACACCUUGGAUGAAGGGUGGAUUUCAGAUUUUACAAUUACAAACAAUUAGGUAGGUACCAGACUGUAUAUGUUUUUUUUUAUUUAUAUAUUAUUACUUAUUAGAGGAGAAUAUUAAUAUAACUAAUGUCUGCUGUUAAAUAAGUGAAUAAACAGAAAUAGGAGUGUUGUAAAAUAUACCGAACCUAUAAAUCACAUUUUUUAGUAUAAAGAUAGAGAAGCUGAUCUGAACCUGGAAACUGUUAAAAAAAACAAAGCAAGGCAAACUUUAUCAGAGAUUGAAAAAAAGGAGGAGGUUUUUAACUCAGAUGAAAAGGAUCUUUUGGAUCGCACCUGAGCUUGAUACUCUGGUUGCAAUUAUUAAAGUUGAUAGGAAACGAAAGGAUCAAGACAAGACUGAAGAUAUUGCAUUUUUAUUGGACCAAUUAGGAGAUAGAAAACUAGAAUAGGUGGAAUCGAUACAAGGUACCUUUACUCUGUAAACAGGAGUUCAUCCAAAAUUAAAAGGAAAUCAAAUUUGCAUGAAACCAUGUCAGAGAGUGAAUUCAGCUCAAAUGGAUUAGAGAAAGAUGAAGAUAUUGAUGAUUUUCCAUACCCAUAUCCAGAGUUAAAGAAAAAAGUCAAAAAAGCUAAUAGUGUUAUUCUUCCAAAAGAUGUUCUCAAGCGAACUGCUGAUACUGCUGUUGGGGAAGGAAUAAGUCAUAGGCAGCAUGCUUCCAUGGUUAAUAGUAUAAUCGCUAAAUCGGGUGGAAAUGUAGCUGAAUUUAAAUGUUCAACCUCUACAGCAUUACGCACUGCAGAUGAGGUCAUUCAUGAUGAAUCAAAGAGAAUCAAGGAUCCUCUUUGAUUCAUCAUGAUUUAAGAAGUUUUAGAAAAAUCAAUAAGAACAUUUUAGUUCAACUCCAUUUUGAUGGAAAAGUAUGUCAUGAAUAUACUGAUGGGAAAAAAUUGGAACAAGAUCGAUUAGCAAUAUUAGCAAAUGGUAACAAGGAAACACACCUGUUGGGAAUUUCACCUAUUCUUCUGGAAGUGGCGAAAAUCAAAAAAAUACCAUCAGAGAUAUCUUAAAUAGCUUUAACCUUACAGACAAUAUACAAGCUGUUACAUUUGAUACCACCAGAAUCAACACUGGAAACAAAAAUGGAGCUGUAUCUUUACUGGUAAAUUAAGUCUUUUAUUAUCAAAAAAAUAUCAAAAUAGCAUUACUUCUGGACCAGAUAAUCUGCUGUUUAAAAUUUUAAAAACAGCAUGGAAUGAUCUUGACGCAGACAACCAGGUAGGUUUUCACAAAAUUAGCUACCAUUUUGUGAAAUAUUAUUUUUACCAAAUAAUUUUCUUUUUCCAAUUUUGAGUUCUUUGAAUUUUUUUUUUACGUUUUAAAUAAAUAAGGUUUUAAGAAAAUUAACUAUUCCAGAGAAAACAUGGCUUGGUCAUCAAAAGCAUGAAGGCAUAACGUUCUGCAGAAAUAUUAUCACCAGUGGGUCUUUAAAAAAGGAUGGGGCUACAAGGAAGGACUACAUUGAGCUGGCAGAGCUUACACUUAUGGUGCUUUCUGAGGACAGAUACAAUUUCGUACUCCCGGAGCAGUCCACCAUGCCCGCUUUAUGGCAAAAGGCAUCUACUACCUAAAAAUGAUGGAUGCUAUACUUAGUCUGGAAAAAUGGCUGAAGCAUGAAAUUACUGAAGAUAUGAGAGCGCUUUGGCAAAUGAAUAGGUUUAAGGAGUACAAUUUGAUUGGGGCAGAAUCAGUCAUUGAAUCUAUCGCCACACAUGGUUUCUGGACCCUUACCUUAUUGUACUAACUCUAGCUGAUGAAAAAUGUAAAGAAAGAGGUGCUAUUGCUCAAAAACUAUACAGCUAUGAAUUUCAUAGUAUGGAUGAAUAUCCCCUAGCUCGAAUAAGUGCUAACAUAGAGGUCCUCAAUUCUUUAGUCUUCAGUGGACCGAAUCCUCUCAGCUUAGUUCAUUUGAUCACAGAAAAAUCGUGGCUAUUAUUUCUUAUGAUAGACCAAAGUAAAAGUGACUGUCAAUGGAUGAAAACCCUCCAAAAUAUCGGACUUACAACAAUUUCUACUUAAAAUUUCAGGAGGCAGUUUUUAAUCUUUCAGUUGUUAAUGAUUGCUCGGAAAGAAUUGUUAAACUCAUAAAAGACAAAAUUGAUAUUGCCCAAAAAAAGAGAAAAGACAGGAUUCACUUUUAUUUUUGCAUAAUUACAAAAGGAAGUAUAAAAAUCUAAGAAAUCCAAGAAAAAUAAAAAAAAACAAUAUAAAAAUAUAACAUAACAUUUUUUAAAAAUAAAGCAAUUAUAAAGAAAUUUGUUAAACCAAAUUGCUAGACAUUUUAUGCAAUAUAAUUAGAUUUUUUUUCAUUUCAUGUAAUUUAAUAAAGUUUCAUGCAAUAUAAUAAAGUUUUUAUAGAUCUUGA